GGCCGGUUAGCUCAGUCAGUUGAGCAGGGCGCUAACAACGCCAAGGUCACGGGUUCGAUUCCCGUUUGGUCCC
rnacentral:tRNA from 1 species